GAAGAGGCCUAAAGGACUGUCUUCCUAUGGUCUGUUGGCUGUUCUGGAAUCUCAGCAGAGAAUGGCCAUUUCAUUUGGAAGAAACAACA
rnacentral:snoRNA from 1 species